rnacentral:rRNA from 1 species
UAGGGAAUCUUCCGCAAUGGACGCAAGUCUGACGGAGCAACGCCGCGUGAGUGAAGAAGGAUUUCGGUUCGUAAAACUCUGUUGUUAGAGAAGAACAGCGCAUAGAGUAACUGUUAUGCGUGUGACGGUAUCUAACCAGAAAGCCACGGCUAACUACGUGCCAGCAGCCGCGGUAAUACGUAGGUGGCAAGCGUUGUCCGGAUUUAUUGGGCGUAAAGCGAGCGCAGGCGGUCAAUUAAGUCUGAUGUGAAAGCCCCCGGCUCAACCGGGGAGGUACAUUGGAAACUGGUUGACUUGAGUGCGGAAGAGGGGAGUGGAAUUCCAUGUGUAGCGGUGAAAUGCGUAGAUAUAUGGAGGAACACCGGUGGCGAAGGCGACUUUCUGGUCUGUAACUGACGCUGAUGUGCGAAAGCGUGGGAAUCAAACAGG